CUUAAAUGUGAUUAAAAAUACUACUUAAUGCUAGUUCAGAACUUGCAUGUCUGAUAAUAGUCUAACAGCUAUUAACCAGAAGAUAAUGGCGUCCUCAGGUGACAGCUUGUAUUCCCUUCAUUCAAUAUCAACGGACAGGAGUCGAAACAUAAAUAGAUAGUUCUUAAUGUGAACAUAAAGACUCAUUAAUAAUGAUAAUUAUGUGUUAAGAUUAUUAAACUGCAUUAUAGAGAUUGUCUAUGCGCACAAUACUAACAACAAAACAACAUGCUACUAUGCAGCACUACUUCUCACUUCACUCACUUCUCUCGCAACAACCUUACGCAUAACACCCGUGUACCUAUGCAUCGUCACAACCGUUAUUUUAAAAUAUAAUUUGGAAGGACACAAUAAAACAUUCAUUUCUUUCAUACACCACUGCUUGCCUCCUCUUCCUCGCCAACAGAGAUAUUAUAGCUAUCAUAUAACGUGAAUUGUGUUCACACAAUAUAAAUUAAUUUGGAUGUAGUCAGAAAUGUAUAGCAGAAAUUAUUAAAUGCAAAAUGAAAUAAUGAUUAUCUGAAAUGUGAUUUAAUAAGACAAGCCCACAGAGUUUGGCUAAUUUGCUUUGUGAGCCACUGUUAGAGUUCACAUAUACAUGACCACAUUACAAUAAAUGGAUUUAAAAUUCAAUAGUAAUCAAUACCAGAAACCAGAAUGCUUUUAGUAUUUAAUUGAAUUAUAAAAUACAACAAGAAAGUAACAAAGAUAUAAAAAACAUCAUUAUUACAUAUAAAAAAAAAGUAUUUCCUGGUCAUGUUGUUUCAAUAAAUUCUGCUAGCUCAAUAACAUUGAGUCAUUAAUGAACGUUGUGCUCAAUCACUUUUCAUAUAUAAUCAUUAUCUUUGUUGUGAAUGCAGUAUUGUUAAUGCACAAGUUAUUUGUUUUCUAUUGAUGACUAUUAAGCGAUAGCUUCCCGAUUCUAAUGCAAAUAAAAUUACUCAUAUCUCACAGUUCAUGGUGGUUUUAAGUCUCCAUAAGCUUUAGCAAGUGCUUGUCUGCCUUGGUACUUAAAAAAAAACAAGUAACCUCUUCGAUAUUAAGAUAUUCUAUUAGUAAUUAAAGUUUUAGCUUUAAUUACUAAUGGCAAGCAGGCUAUUGGUGCAGUUCCGUCAUUGCUAGUAGAUUGCUAAUCGUCAACACAGUUUCUGAUACAUAAAUGAACCUCAAUAUUUUUUUUAUAAAAUCGAUUCAAAUAUAUUAUUUAUUAUAACUUGUGCGUCCAGUAAUGGUUUAUAUAAUUUAUUUCAUUUAAUAUGUAUUUCUUAUCUAUGUAAUUUGUGUGUAUGUAUCUAUGUAGUUAUUUUUGCCAAUGUAAUUAUAACCUAGUGUUCAUUUUUACUCAUGUCUACUAUAAUUCUUUAAAAUAUCGCCGUGUAUUAACUUUAUCACAGCUACGCACCUCUUGAAUCUUUCACUUCAUCAACGAGGGUUACCUAGAAGUGAAUGGCGUUAAGUUGGUCUUUUCAUUCAUUCAUUAGUGACUAGUCAGUUUUCUCGUCUCGUAUGUAUGUUUCAUAUAAAGAAUCUCGUCUCGUUUCUCGUUCUCAUCUCGUUUUUACCAUUGCACCGCCCACAACUGGAGUUUUUUCUCCCCUACCUAUGCUGAUAGCCUUGAGAGACUAUUUCAGCUUCGCCCUAACGUUUGUAGGUGAGCUCACGGGGCUCAAACCGGAGAGUUGCUAACACUGACCCUAGCAAGAGCAGUGCUUUGCAGAAUCUACUACCGGAUCGGAAACGCGACCCACUGAGAAGAUCCGGCGAGAAACUCAGUGGGCUGUGUCUGUGGGUUAAUUCACUCGUCGAGCCCUUCGUCGCAAGCGACUGGUUCGACGAGGACGGUGACCGGUACUUGUGAAAGAGAGUUCGUUCAUACUACCUGGAGCCACUGCGUUCAUCCACAGUGCGUUUCCAGAGAUCAUUUUUGCCACGUACCAUCCGGCUUUGGAAUGAGCUCCCCUCCACUGUGUUUCCUGAGCGCUAUGACAUGUCCUUCUUCAAACAAGGCUUGUGGAGAGUACUUAACGAUAGUCAGCCGCUUAGCUCUGCCCCUAGCAUUGCUGUAGUCCAUGGGCGACGGUAACCACUCACCAUCAGGGGGGCCGUGUGCUCGUCAAGAGCAAUAAAAUAAUUCAAUUAAACGUAAUGGAAAACAGAUUACGAAAUCUUGAAGAAUUCUAUUUUCCAUUCGCUGUAACGUUAUAUUGUGUAUCAAGGCGUUGAAUCAUGCAUCGAAUAUAAGACUACUUUUACAGUUAAUCUUCCGUUGGUUCUUCCGACCUUUCGGAUACUCACAGUUUUCGUUUCUUAUUAUAUUAUACUGGCUUGAUAUACAGACAUAUGGUUUGAAAGCGAUAAUUGAGAUCAUAAGAUGUCCGAAAAUGGACAUUGCUAUUCACCUGGUCCUGGCUAUGGACUCAAUGACUACUAGGAUAAUGUCACUGGUGGUAGGACCUCUUGGGAGUCCGCACGGGUAGGUACCACCACCCCACCUAUUUCCGCCGUGAAGCAGUAAUGCGUUUCGGUUCGAAGGGUGAGGUAGCCGUUGUAACUAUACUGAGACCUUAGAACUUAUAUCUCAAGGUGGGUGGCGCAUUUACGUGGUAGGUGUCUAUGGGCUCCAGUAACCACUUAACACCAGGUGGGCUGUGAGCUCGUCCACCUAUCUAAGCAAUAAAAAAAAAUAAAAAAAAUACUAGCGGACCCGACCGAUGUUGUCCUGCAAACAUUCAUUCAAGUCGAUUGAGCCGUUUAGGAGUUUAGUGACAUACACACGUACAGUGGAACUAUAUAUAUAAAGAUUACUGAUUAAGAGAAGUGUGGUUAUCGGAACACCCAGCCUCCUAGUACGAGAUGGGUGACGCGCCAAGUCAAUAUGUAACGUAAAAAAAGAUCCCGAAAUAUCUUGAGAACUUUAGUUCACAGUACCCAAAUAACCGGUAUUCCCAAUAUCCAUAUCAAAUAAAAUCAAAUCAAAUCAAAAAAGCUUUAUUCAACAUAAAUGAAAGUACAUACUCGUUGAACGUCAAAAGAACUACCGCCAAUUCCUUCGAUCAACAAUAGUAACUAGAUUUCGGGUCAGUGCAUAAAAUCCGUCUCGUCAAAUAACAGCGCACAUGAAAUGUGAGCUCUUAUUUUGUUUAGUUCACUUCAAACACAGCCAAUGUCUACCCGUCUCACAAUACCGCAGUGUGUAUUCAAAAGUUGCAAAAAUAAGGCCCGAAAAAGCAAUUUAACGGCCGGAAUAUCUUACUUUCGCUUUCCUAGCAAUCACGUGUGCAGAAUGGAUCUCGAUUGUCGCCAGAGAAACAAGAGAUGACUUUUAUAAGCCAGCUAAGAUCUCCGCUUAUUGACACUGGACAUCUUUGCCUUCCGUGCUCACGGCUACUGAAACGUGGCCGAAACAUUGUAAUAAAAAUACCACGCUUGAAACCGUUUAAA